AAACUUGAAACAUACUUACCUGGACGGGGUCGACGGUUGAUCAAGAAGAGCCGUGGCCUAGGCUAGUGAUCCACAUUGCACUUGGUGGAUGCGUUGGCUUACCAUCUCCCCAAGUGGGAGAGUGGACGUCAUAAUUUGUGGUAG
rnacentral:snRNA from 1 species